rnacentral:rRNA from 1 species
GCCUACGGGGGGCAGCAGUAGGGAAUCUUCCACAAUGGGCGAAAGCCUGAUGGAGCAACGCCGCGUGGGUGAAGAAGGUCUUCGGAUCGUAAGACCCUGUUGUUAGAGAAGAAAGUGCGUGAGAGUAACUGUUCACGUUUCGACGGUAUCUAACCAGAAAGCCACGGCUAACUACGUGCCAGCAGCCGCGGUAAUACGUAGGUGGCAAGCGUUAUCCGGAUUUAUUGGGCGUAAAGGGAACGCAGGCGGUCUUUUAAGUCUGAUGUGGAAGCCUUCGGCUUCACCGGAGUAGUGCAUUGGAAACU